GUGGGGCGUCCCGCAGGCUCCGUAGCUAUGUCCGGAAGCAAGAACCGCUGAAAGCAUCUAAGUGGGAAAUGCGCCUCAAGAUGAGUGCUCUCGCUGGUUUAGCCAGGUAAGACUCCCAGUAGAUGACUGGGUUGAGCGGCUCCCACUGGACGCGGGGUGACCCGUGCAGGUCAGGAGUGCGCACAGUCGAGGGCUUCCCUCC
rnacentral:rRNA from 1 species